CAUCAAAAUAACGUCUGUUCUGAAUCAGAUGACUGCCGAUCGCUGCAGGGAGGGAAACUGAAAUACUCCACUUCGAAGUACUUUGUACUUUACCUGAGAAUUCCUACUCUAAUACAUUUCAGAAGGAACUAUAUUUUACUCCACGACAUUUUUCAUGACAGCUGUAGUUUCCAGUGGCUUUUCCAACUAUGAUUGUUUAGUAAUAUCUUAUAAAAACACAACACAAAUAAGGAUUUAAUUAAAUAACUUAACUAAGAGAGGUCAAAUUAUCCAAUGAUUCACAAAACAUGAUAAAGAUAAGAAAAAAGUUCGUGUCAUAGAACACAGAUUUUUUUUUUGUAAUCAUAUCACAACUGCCCAGUUCCAUCUUGUGACUCUUGUGAGGUCAAGACAGGCUGCAGGGGGUUUGGACGAUGCACAGCAGGACUCACAGGAAGUACAUUUGUGUUUAUUCGUGGAGGUGAAUAAUGGGAAACCUGAACAGACUGUUUUUCACUGCAGAGUGAAGUGCCAGGAGCCGCACGGUGUGAGGAGUGGUGUGAUGCUGUAACAGGGCUUUCAUGUGGAACAGUGCUGUCCGCCGUUACAUAAACAGCUUUUCAAACAAACGCAUGAAACUGACCGAUGACCUACUUCUUCCGGACCAAUUGAUCCCGAGUGACAUCCAGUCCUGAGACUCCACUUCAGCACUACCAAUACAAGACGUCUCGUAAUGCAUCAACAGUUAUGAUCCAGUAGUAUAACAUGCACUAUUCUGAUCAGGGCAAUUUUGUACUAAAAAGUAUAUUUUGCUGAGUA